rnacentral:rRNA from 1 species
UGGCUGCAGUCGAGAAUAUUCCACAAUGGGCGAAAGCCUGAUGGAGCGACACCGCGUGCAGGAAGACGGCCUUCGGGUUGUAAACUGCUUUUCUAGGGGAAGAAAUUUUGACGGUACUUUAGGAAUAAGGAGUGGCUAAAUUCGUGCCAGCAGCAGCGGUAAUACGAAUACUCCAAGCGUUAUCCGAAUUUAUUGGGCGUAAAGCGUACGUAGGGGGCUUGAUGCGUCUAUUGUUAAAUCUCACCGCCCAACGGUGAGGCCGCAGUAGAUACGGUCAGGCUAGAAGAUGCGAGAGGUCUGUGGAACGCACGGUGUAGGGGUGGUAUCCGUUGAUAUCGUGCGGAACACCAAAGGCGAAGGCAGCAGACUGGCGUACUCUUGACCCUGAGGUACGAAAGCGUGGGUAGCGAACGGGAUUAGAUACCCGUGUAGUC